rnacentral:rRNA from 1 species
GCUGAAAAGCUAGCCUAGACAUUUAUUUAACACCACAAUAUAUAUUCCUUUGCAUAUCCUGCACUAGAUUAAACAAACCAUUUUUCCCCCUUAGUACGGGCGACAGAAAAGGGACCCUGAGCAACAGAGAAAGUACCGCAAGGGAAAGCUGAAAGAGAAAUGAAACAACCCAUCAAAGCCUAAAAAAGCAGAGAUUAACCCUUGUACCUUUUGCAUCAUGAUCUAGCCAGCAAACUUAAGCAAAGAGACCUUUAGUUUAAGCCCCCGAAACUAAACGAGCUACUCCGAGACAGCCUAUCCAGGGCCAACCCGUCUCUGUGGCAAAAGAGUGGGAAGAGCUCCGAGUAGAGGUGAUAAACCUACCGAGUUUAGUUAUAGCUGGUUGCUUAAGAAAUGAAUAGAAGUUCAGCCCUCUCGCUCCCCAAGCCCCGAAAGUUUUUCUAACGCCGGCCCCGGUGACACCAGAGGAGUUAGUCAAAAGAGGUACAGCUCUUUUGAACAAGGACACAACCUUAUCAGGCGGUUAAAGAUCAUAAUAACUAAGGUGAACUGUUCCAGUGGGCCUAAAAGCAGCCACCUGCACAGAAAGCGUUAAAGCUCAGACAGACAAACAAACCUUUUAUCCCGAUACUUAUUCUUACCCCCUAAUCUUACUAAGCCGCCCCAUGCCCCCCCCCCCUGGGGGCGAUUAUGUUAGAAUGAGUAAUAAGAGGGGACAACCCUCUCCCAACACAUGUGUAAGUCGGACCGGACCCCCCACCGACAAAUAACGAACCCAACACCAGAGGGAAAUACGAAUUAAAAAAUAAUGCUAGAAAAACACGUAUACUACUAUCGUUAACCCCACACAGGAGUGUUCCCCGGGAAAGACCUAAAAGAGAAGAAGGAACUCGGCAAACCCAAGCCUCGCCUGUUUACCAAAAACAUCGCCUCUUGCAAAUUUUAAUAUAAGAGGUCCCGCCUGCCCUGUGACUCUAAGUUUAACGGCCGCGGUAUUUUGACCGUGCGAAGGUAGCGUAAUCACUUGUCUUUUAAAUGAAGACCCGUAUGAAUGGCACAACGAGGGCUUGACUGUCUCCUUCUCUUCGUCAAUGAAAUUGAUCUUCCCGUGCAGAAGCGGGAAUAUAUACGUAAGUCGAGAAGACCCUAUGGAGCUUUAGACAAAAGGCAGACUACGUUAAAACCCCCUCAUCACAGGACUAAACACAGUACCCCCUAGCCAACAUGUCUUUGGUUGGGGCGACCGCGGGGGAAAAUCAAGCCCCCAUGUGGACUGGGAAAACCUUUCCUACAGCCAAGAGCUACAACUCUAAGCAACAGAAUUUCUGACCAAUAUGAUCCGGCAAAUGCCGAUCAACGGACCAAGUUACCCUAGGGAUAACAGCGCAAUCCCCUCCCAGAGUCCCUAUCGACAAGGGGGUUUACGACCUCGAUGUUGGAUCAGGACAUCCUAAUGGUGCAACCGCUAUUAAGGGUUCGUUUGUUCAACGAUUAAAGUCCUACGUGAUCUGAGUUCAGACCGGAGUAAUCCAGGUCAGUUUCUAUCUAUGAUGUAACUUUCCCUAGUACGAAAGGACCGGGAAAGAGAGGCCUAUGCUCGAGGCACGCCUCACCCCCACCUGAUGAAGACAACUUAAACAGAUGAGGGGGCACACCCAAAUGAGCCCAAGAGAAUGGCGC